rnacentral:rRNA from 1 species
GAUGAACGCUAGCGGCAGGCUUAAUACAUGCAAGUCGAGGGGUAGCAAGAUUGUAGCAAUACAAUUGUUGACGACCGGCAAACGGGUGCGGAACACGUACACAACCUUCCUACAAGUGGGGAAUAGCCCAGAGAAAUUUGGAUUAAUACCCCGUAACAUAGCGAUGUGGCAUCACAUUGCUAUUAUAGCUUCGGCGCUUGUUGAUGGGUGUGCGGCUGAUUAGAUAGUUGGCGGGGUAACGGCCCACCAAGUCUACGAUCAGUAGCUGAUGUGAGAGCAUGAUCAGCCACACGGGCACUGAGACACGGGCCCGACUCCUACGGGAGGCAGCAGUAAGGAAUAUUGGACAAUGGACGCAAAUCUAAUCCAGCCAUGCCGCGUGAAGGAUUAAGGUCCUCUGGAUUGUAAACUUCUUUUAUAAGGGACGAAAAAAGGUCUUUCUAGAUCGUCUGACGGUACCUUAUGAAUAAGCACCGGCUAACUCCGUGCCAGCAGCCGCCGCAGUAA